rnacentral:rRNA from 1 species
CAGCAGCCGCGGGAAUACAGAGGGUGCGAGCGUUAAUCGGAUUUACUGGGCGUAAAGCGUGCGUAGGCGGCUUUUUAAGUCGGAUGUGAAAUCCCUGAGCUUAACUUAGGAAUUGCAUUCGAUACUGGGAAGCUAGAGUAUGGGAGAGGAUGGUAGAAUUCCAGGUGUAGCGGUGAAAUGCGUAUAGAUCUGGAGGAAUACCGAUGGCGAAGGCAGCCAUCUGGCCUAAUACUGACGCUGAGGUACGAAAGCAUGGGGAGCAAACAGGAUUAGAUACCCCCGUAGUCCCUGUCUCUUAUAU